rnacentral:rRNA from 1 species
ACUUGCGUACAACAUAGAAUUAAUGCAUCGGAUCCCAUUAUAACUCUGCAGUUAAGUGUGCUCAGGCUAGAGUAGUACUGGGAUGGGUGACCACCUGGGAAGUCCUAGUAUUUUACAUGCA